UUAAAGCUGAAUCCACAUUUGAACAGUUUCUCAUCUCUCGAUCUGCCCACCUGCCAUCAGGAUCCUUUGCACAGCGGUGGGUGCAGUCGCGUGCUCUGCAG
rnacentral:lncRNA from 1 species